UCUUUUUUUUUCAACAAGUUUUUUUUUUUCCAUUUCACUUCACCAAUUUGGACUAUUUUGUGUAUGUCCAUUACAUGAAAUCCAAAUCCAUUUAAAGUACAGGUUGUAAUGGAACAAAAUAGGAAAACUGCUGAAGGGGGUGAAUACUUUUGCAAGGCACUGUAGGUAAGCUGGAUAACAUCAGAAAGACAGAGACAAUUGGCCAGGCAGGGUGAGGGUGUCCUGUCCUUCCAGGAGGGACGCCUGUCAGGGUGAACUGCCUGACUGCUGCAGUUUAUCCUUGGACACCUUGAUCGACCUCAAAAGGCUUGGAUUCCCCACUAUUCCAAUGAUGUCAUCUGAACUGGUGUAAACCCUGCUGGCUCCCCAGCCUAACCACAAAAGAGAGAAGGGAGAGGUGGGACAUCGUCUGGACAGAACAUCAAGAUCAAAUCCAUUGGCGCAAGCAUGAACCUUUCCCGUAUUCUGCUGCUUCGAUCAACAUCUGCACCAUUUCGAUCGCCGCCAUUUUCAACAAUAACACUGAUAAAAUGACAAUCAGAUACAGAAUUUGGAUAGCUAGCUACUCAACUGCU